UACGUAGGGUGCGAGUGUUGUCCGGAAUUACUGGGCGUAAAGAGCUCGUAGGUGGUUUGUCGCGUUGUCCGUGAAAACUCACAACUCAAUUGUGGGCGUGCGGGCGAUACGGGCAGACUGGAGUACUGCAGGGGAGACUGGAAUUCCUGGUGUAGCGGUGAAAUGCGCAGAUAUCAGGAGGAACACCGGUGGCGAAGGCGGUUCUCUGGGCCUUACCUGACGCUGAGGAGCGAAAGCGUGGGGAGCAAACAGG
rnacentral:rRNA from 1 species